GUGUCAGCACCUGUCGUCCGGGCGGGCACUCGCUGUGGCGCAGGCACAUGUCGUACUUCUUCUUGUGGUAAUAUCCCCGCUGACACUGACACUGGCAGUCGCUGUCGGCGGCGCACGCCGUCUUCACUAUCUGGUUCUGGCCGCACACUGAGCAGCGGAGACACUUGCCGAUGUAGUUCCACAGUUCCGUGAACGAGCCCGCAGGACACGGCGCGCAGUCGCUCUUUUGCGUCGACGUGCAGCGUGCGCGCAGGUAGGUCCCAGGGGGGCAGCGGUCGCACUCCAGCGGCGCGCCGCUGACGGGGUCCGUGUCUGUGAAGGUCAGGAGCGGCGCAGCGACGCCCUCAGUCAGAGCGGCGCGCACUGACAGCAGCAGCAGCAUCGGGAAGAGCGACACCGACAUCUGGAAAGAGGGAGGAAAAAAAAACGACAGGAAAUAAGAUGUAACAUUAAGAAAUACAAGGAACUAAGGUAGAAACAGAGGAAAACAACCUGGGAAAUACAAAGACAUGAGCGCUGAAACACCUGGCACAGCACCUCGAGGUAAACGGGAUUCCCACAUAAAGCGGCUGAUUUGAUGCUUUGGUAUGGAUCGCGCUGCGGCCGUUAGAGGGCGCUGUUCCAAAGGGACUACAUCAGCGUCCAGGACAAUACUUGUACUGUGGAAAACAAGCAAACGCCCUGAUCGGAGAGAAUGGAUGAACAUUAUGGCCUCAUAUGAAGUCAUGCUCAACAGGAUGGACAAAGACAACAAAAACAGGACCAAGGCACCAGUCUGGGACUUGUUCUGGUCUUUCAUCACAACACCCGAUGAGACCACAGUCUGAAUUUUCACUCCUGACUGUAAAGAACAAGAUACAUCUCUAUCCAUCUGUUACAGCUCCAGCUAUGCAACUAACUAAAUAUUUGAUAUGUCCCCUUUACCAACAGAAUAAUGCCGCACUCACACUUUGUAUUAUUCCUGUCCUUCUAUGUCAAUGUUGUCACAUGAUAUGUGCAU